rnacentral:rRNA from 1 species
GACGUAGGAGGCGAGCGUUAUCCGGAUUCACUGGGCGUAAAGCGCAUGUAGGCGGUUGCACAAGUCCGUUGUUAAAGCCCCUGGCUCAACUGGGGGAGGUCAAUGGAGACUGUGCGACUUGAGGGCAAUAGAGGCACGUGGAACUCCCGGUGUAGCGGUGGAAUGCGUAGAGAUCGGGAAGAACAUCAGUGGCGAAGGCGGUCUGCUGGGCCGUUGCUGACGCUGAGGCGCGACAGCGUGGGGAGCAAACAGG